rnacentral:rRNA from 1 species
UGGGGAAUAUUGGACAAUGGAGGAAACUCUGAUCCAGCAAUUCUGUGUGUGUGAAGAAGGUUUUAGGACUGUAAAACACUUUUAGUAGGGAAGAAAAAAAUGACGGUACCUACAGAAGAAGCAACGGCUAAAUACGUGCCAGCAGCCGCGGUAAUACGUAUGUUGCGAGCGUUAUCCGGAAUUAUUGGGCUUAAAGGGCAUCUAGGCGGUAAGACAAGUUGAAGGUGAAAACCUGUGGCUCAACCAUAGGCUUGCCUACAAAACUGUUGAACUAGAGUACUGGAAAGGUGGGUGGAACUACACGAGUAGAGGUGAAAUUCGUAGAUAUGUGUAGGAAUGCCGAUGAUGAAGAUAACUCACUGGACAGAAACUGACGCUGAAGUGCGAAAGAUAGGGGAGCAAACAGG